rnacentral:rRNA from 1 species
GAUCACCUCCUUUAGAGUUUGAAUCCUGGCUCAGGACGAACGCUGGCGGCGUGCUUAACACAUGCAAGUCGAACGAUGAAGCCCUUCGGGGUGGAUUAGUGGCGAACGGGUGAGUAACACGUGGGCAAUCUGCCCUUCACUCUGGGACAAGCCCUGGAAACGGGGUCUAAUACCGGAUAACACUCUGUCCCGCAUGGGACGGGGUUAAAAGCUCCGGCGGUGAAGGAUGAGCCCGCGGCCUAUCAGCUUGUUGGUGGGGUGAUGGCCUACCAAGGCGACGACGGGUAGCCGGCCUGAGAGGGCGACCGGCCACACUGGGACUGAGACACGGCCCAGACUCCUACGGGAGGCAGCAGUGGGGAAUAUUGCACAAUGGGCGAAAGCCUGAUGCAGCGACGCCGCGUGAGGGAUGACGGCCUUCGGGUUGUAAACCUCUUUCAGCAGGAAGAAGCGAAAGUGACG